rfam:Chryseobacterium sp. Leaf394 contig_4, whole genome shotgun sequence.
CAAUAGCCCCGAUUGCAGCGGCAUCCUUUUUUUUGCAAGGGCUUGAAAAAAGCGAGGGCAAAAAAAGAUACAGCGGAAAGCGGGAUUAAGC